GGCGGAGCGGGCGGCGGAGCUGUCAGUCCCAGCCCAAGGGUCGCUGGAGGCGCGCAGGCCGGCUCGGCUCCGGCCCCGGACGAUGCGGCGCGCCCAGGAUGCUGCCGUGCCUCGUAGUGCUGCUGGCGGCGCUCCUCAGCCUCCGUCUUGGCUCAGACGCUCAUGGUAAGGCUCCGGGACGCGGCCCUUCCCUGCCCUGCCCUCUCCGCGCCCGCUCCGUUAAAGUUCUCCAUCCGGUGGAGAGCCCUGGCUGGCUGGCCCUCUGGGGAGAGGGAUGCCCGGGUGCCCCCUUACUCUGGCAAACCUGGAUCUCAGGCUCACCUGUUGUGGAAGUGGAAGAGGCUGAGAUUGACAGGAACUGACGGAUUGGGAAGGAUAGAGAAGUAUGCGCAAGGCCAAACCCCUAACCCGCAAACCUCAUCAUCCACCCACUUCUAGUUGAGCCAGACAGAGCUGCCCAGCCCUCCGUCUGUGUGGUUUGAAGCAGAAUUUUUCCACCACAUCCUCCACUGGACACCCAUCCCAAAUCAAUCUGAAAGUACCUGCUAUGAAGUGGCGCUCCUGAGGUAUGGAAUAGAGCCCUGGAACUCCAUCUCCAACUGUAGCCAGGCCCUGUCCUACGACCUUACCACAGUGACCCUGGACCUGUACCGCAGCAGUGGCUACCGGGCCAGAGUCCGGGCUGUGGACGGCAGCCGGCACUCCAACUGGACCGUCACCAACACCCGCUUCUCUGUGGAUGAAGUGACUCUGACAGUUGGCAGUGUGAAGCUAGAGAUCCACAAUGGCUUCAUCCUCGGGGAGAUUCAGCCCCCCAGGCCCAAGAUGGCCCCUGCAAAUGACACAUAUGAAAGCAUCUUCAGUCACUUCCGAGAGUAUGAGAUUGCCAUUCGCAAGGUGCCAGGAAACUUCACGUUCACACACAAGAAAGUAAAACAUGAAAACUUCAGCCUCCUAACCUCUGGAGAAGUGGGAGAGUUCUGUGUCCAGGUGAAACCAUCUGUCGCUUCCCGAACUAACAAGGGGAUGUGGUCUAAAGAGGAGUGCGUCUCCCUCACCAGGCAGUAUUUCACCGUGACCAACGUCAUCAUCUUCUUUGCCUUUGUCCUGCUGCUCUCCGGAGUCCUCGCCUACUGCCUGGCCCUCCAGCUGUAUGUGCGGCGCCGAAAGAAGCUGCCCAGUGUCCUGCUCUUCAAGAAGCCCAGCCCCUUCAUCUUCAUCAGCCAGCGUCCCUCCCCAGAGACCCAAGACACCAUCCACCCGCUUGAUGAGGAGGCCUUCCUGAAGGUGUCCCCAGAGCUGAGGAACUCGGACCUGCACGGCAGCACGGACAGUGGCUUUGGCAGCACAAAGCCAUCCCUGCAGACUGAAGAGCCCCAGUUCCUCCUCCCUGCCCCUCCCCCCCAGGCUGACAGAACGCUGGAAAACGGGGAGCUCCCUGUGCUGGGGGACAGCUGCAGUGGUGGCAGCAGCAAUAGCACAGACAGCGGGAUCUGCCUGCAGGAGCCCAGCCUGAGCCCCAGCACAGGGCCCACCUGGGAGCAGCAGGUGGGGAGCAACAGCAGGGGCCAGGAUGACAGUGGCAUUGGCCUAGUUCAAAACUCUAAGGGCCGGGCUGGGGACACACAGCGUGGCUCAGCCUUGGGCCACCACAGUCCCCCAGAGCCUGAGGUGCCUGGGGAAGAAGACCCAGCUGCUGUGGCAUUCCUGGGCUACCUGAGGCAGACCAGAUACGCUGAAGAGAAGGCAACCAAGACAGGCUGCCUGGAGGAAGAAUCGCCCUUGACAGAUGGCCUUGGCCCCAAAUUCGGGAGAUGCCUGGAUGAUGAGGCAGGCUUGCAUCCACCAGCCCUGGCCAAGGGCUAUUUGAAACAGGAUCCUCUAGAAAUGACUCUGGCUUCCUCAGGGGCCCCAACUGGACAGUGGAACCAGCCCACUGAGGAAUGGUCACUCCUGGCCUUGAGCAGCUGCAGUGACCUGGGAACAUCUGACUGGAGCUUUGCCCAUGACCUUGCCCCUCUAGGCUGUGUGGCAGCCCCAGGUGGUCUCCUGGGCAGCUUUAACUCAGACCUGGUCACCCUGCCCCUCAUCUCUAGCCUGCAGUCAAGUGAGUGACUCAGGCUGAGAGGCUGCUUUUGAUUUUAGCCGUGCCUGCUCCUCUGCCUGGACCAGGAGGAGGGCCCCCAGGGCAGAAGUAAGGCACGAGGCAGUCUGGGCACUUUUCUGCAAGUCCACUGGGGCCGGCCCCAGCCAGGCCCUGCAGGGCUGGUCA
rnacentral:sRNA from 1 species